rnacentral:rRNA from 1 species
ACAAGCCUGAGAAACGGCUAGUAGGAUAAGGUCUGCAGCAGGCGCGAAACUUACACAAUGCUAGAUUUCGAUUAGCGAUGUAGUGAAGAAAAAUAACGAUGUGCUUCCUUUUAAACAAGGUUGCACAAUUGGAAUGAGACGACUUUAAAACAGUCAGUCGAGUAACAAAUGGAGGGCAAGUCUGGUGCCAGCAGCCGCGGUAAUUCCAGCUCCAUUAGCAUACAUUAAAGUUGUUGCGGUUAAAAAGCUCGUAGUUGAAUGUCUGGCGGGCUCUUGGGUGGGUGGUGCGUUAAGGCUGACUUCGGUUGGCUGCGCCUCCUUUACCCUCUUGGCCCGUUGUUUCGUCACUUAAUUGAGUGCGAAGCGUGUCGAUGGAGUAGGGAGUUUACUCUUCCAACGCCACUGGCAAGUUUACCUUGAGAAAAUUAGAGUGCUCAGCGCAGGCAGUCGGGGUGUAAAAGCUCCUUUAUGCUUGAAUAAUGUUGCAUGGAAUAAUAGAAUACGGCCUCGGUUCUAUUCUGUUGGUCUUAUAGAACAACAAACAAGUUGGUGCGGGCGAUCAAUGCAAGUGUCCGGUGUGGUUCAUUCGGAAUUCGUGCUGUCUGUGACCUCAAAAUCACAGUACCUCAUUUCCGGUUUGCCAUCAAAGCACCUCUCAUGAGCAUGCCCACACACCAACUGAGGCAAUGGUUAAAAGAAAUAGUCGCGGCGGCAUCAGUACUGCAUCGUGAGAG